GGGGGUGAACGGUUUCGACUCUGGACGUUGAGUCAGGAGAAGCGUGCAGGUGCAGGCGAGAGACCACCUAAAGCGUCGCCGCAAAAAUAUAAGCGCCAAUAAACAAGAAGCGCCUAAGAGCCAGUCCCAGUUCGCGCUCGCCGCGUGAGCUAGUUCUGACUCAUUGUCGACCCGGGCUUGCCUCCGUCCCGGACUCGGCAUCAUCAAGGAGGCUUACCGUCGCGGUUGGCCGCGGGCUUCGGCGGGACACUUACAGCGGCUGGGCCCGUCACACCGGCUAGUUCGCGUGACCGGAGGGGCCAAGUAGAGACACAGCGAACUGCGCACGGAGAAGGCCUGGUAAGGCGACAGAGGACCCGGGUUCGAUUCCCGGCACCUCCACCG
rnacentral:tmRNA from 1 species